CGCGCCAGCACAACCCUAUCAGUCUCCUUUCUAAACACAGAAUAUCGCGUUGCAGGUCUUCGAUUCCAAUCUGAGACUCUGGAGGUACUCAAUCCCCUAGAAUUAUCAGACUUCUGCCAAGAAGACCCAGAAAAAUCCUCCAUGAUCAUCCCCCUAGAGGUGCAAAGCAUCCAAGAAAUGGAGGGAUUCUCCAGCUCCUACCACAGUCCCUCAUCUUUACUGUUACCAUCUUCAAUCAAAACCUCAUUUUCAUGGACAACCAAAAAGAACCCAACUUCUCAUCAAUCCAAAGCCCA
rnacentral:misc_RNA from 1 species